rnacentral:rRNA from 1 species
UUCAUCCGAUCGGCUUAAUGGCUCAAUACGUUUGCAUUCUCGAUGAGAGCAACGUUAUCGAUAACUAUUCGUUAAUUGAUCGGUGUUUUUGCGUGCUGGUAUGCGCUAUGAGAGUUUUGUGAUCGUAUGUUUAACGGAUGUAAGUGGACCAUUCUUUUCGGGCGUGGAACCCUUCAUGAUCUUUUAGGCAAUCGAUUAUUAAAUUUAAAGGUCGUAUCGUCUCCGCUAUUGUUGCGUCGCCUUAUGUCUACUAUUGUGAAUUAUUUGAAAUAUUCGGCAUUUAAGCGAAUGAUUGUUGUGGUCAAACAAUUGAUAUACGAUAUCGAGUGAAUGGACGCGUAUGACUUAAUGACUGGAUCCUUUCUGUUGAACUUGACCACCUAUCGAGCCGUCUUGUGAAAACACGACAAGGAGUCUACGCAUUUGCGCGAGUCAUUGGGUGUAAAACCUAAGGGCGAUAAUGUAUAAAGUAAAAGUCACUGACUCGUGGUAUAUAGCCGAUAUGGGAUCCGGAGGCUUUAUGAGCAAUUCGGCGCACCAUAGCCCCGUCCUCAUUGCUCUGCAAUUAGGGCGGAUGGAUAGAGGCGCAUAUGCUGGGACCCGAAAGAUGUGUGAACUAUGCCCUGAGCACGCGAUUGAGCCAGAGGAAACUCUAGUGGAAGUCCCGAAGCCGGUUACUGACGUGCAAUUCUGAUCGUCUGGACUUGGGUCUAUUAGGGCGAAAGACUAUUCGAACCAUCUAAGUUAGCUGUUCCCUCUUGAAAGUUCCCCCCAGGAUAGCUGGAGUUCGUAUGAUGCAGUUAUAUCUGCGUUUAAAGCGAUGUUCUAGAGGAAUUGGGGACGAAAACGAACCUCAACCUAUUCUUCAAACUUUCAAUGGGAUUGAAGUUUCCGCUUGCUUACAUUAAUGAAGCAUGUGAACAUUUGAAUGUAGCUUCCAAGUGGGCCAUUUUGGUAAGCAGAACUGGCCGGGAUGAACCCAAACUCGGGUUAAGUGCCAAACUUCCGCUCAUGAGACCCCAAUGAAAGCGCGUUUGGGUGAUAUAGACAGCAGGACGGUGGCCGAUGGAAGUCGGAAAACCGCUAUUAUGGAGGUGAUGUAACAACUCACAACCUUGCCGAAUCAACUAGCAAAUCUGAAAAUGGAUGGCGCUUGAGCGGAGACUUAACCGCGACCGUUGCAUGGCUUGUGUGUUUCUUCAUGGUCUAAGAGAUUCGCCUCGGCCCGCAACGAGUAUAAGAGUGGUCACAGUGGUUAUGCGUUGAAGGUUUGGUGGGCGUUAGGCCCCAGGCUGUGAGCUGAUCCACUGGUGUCUAAGAUCUUUGGUUAGUAGCAGAAUAUUCAGUGAGAUCCUUGAAGACUGAAGUAGUGAGGAAAAGGGUUCCACGUGAACAGCAGGUUUUUGAUGUUUUGUGGUUUCAUCGGCCCUAAGAUACGGGCUAGAGCUGCCAAUGUGGUCUAUCGAGAGAUGGAGUUCUAAAACCGUCUCAGUUUAUCGAUAAGGGUAAACGGGUUAAUAUUACCCGUAUACCUGACACGGAAGAUAAGCGUCAAUUUGCGAGUGUUUGCGCGAGUUUAAUAGUACGCAAACGAAAACUCGGCUAAACGUGUGAAUUUGAGGCCCGAGCUAGACAGUUCUCUUUCUAGUUUAAGGGAACGAAGUUCCCUGAAAGAAUUCUUUUAGCCGAUGCGAGCAUAGGGAUGUUGUUUCCGUAAAAGCGCCACGGUUCCUGUGACGUGUCUCGUGCGCUCUAUUCGGCGCCUGGUUGAAAAACCGAGGAGGCUAGUUUGAAUUUCUGCCAGGUCCGUACCGAUAUCCCACAGGUCUCACAUACGUAGUGAAAACAGCCUCUCUAGUCGGAAAUAGAAUAAUGUAGGUAAGGGAAGUCGGGCCCAAAUUAGAAUCCGUACACUUCGGGGAAAAGGAUUGUGCUCAAGGAUCUGUGGGCCGGUCGGAGGCGAACAGUGUGAAGUGGAGACUCGGAUUUAGAUCCAUGACGAGUGCAACUUCUCGGAAUACGGUGUGGCGUAUCGGCUAGCGUUCGAACGUCUUUAUGGACCGCUGCACUGCUGUACCGACUCAAUAAUGGGCGUUAGGUGCUUCGGCGGGCGCUAAAACCAGUCAACUUAGAAACAUGGCACGGACUCGGGGAAAUUCCGACGUCUAGAUUAAAACAGAGGGAGACAGAUGGCCCUUGGCGAAGCGUUUUGACUGUCUCUUGGACUUAUACCCCAGUGCUCUGAAUGUAAAGAGCUGAAGAAAUUCAACCAAGCGCGGAAAGUAAAACGGACUGGGAGUAUUAACUAUGAACUCUCUUAAGGUAGCAAAUGCCUUCGUAAUUAAUUAAUGACGCGCAAUAAUGAAUGGAAAUUAAACAGAGAAUUCCCACUGUCCCAUAUCUACUAUCUAGUCGAAAACCACGCCAAGGAAACGGGCUUAGAAGUCGAACACAGCGGGGAAAAGGAAUAGACCUCUCGUGUUGAGCUUGACUCUAGCGUCCGGAACUCUGUGAAGAGUCAAUGAGAGGUUGUAGCCAUAAGUGGGAGGCUUUUCGCCAACAGUGAAUACCACUACUUUAUCGAUUCUUUACUAUUCGUAAGACGAGAAUUGAAGCCUAUCCGGCUCUUGAUUCUUGUGUUAAGUGCAGCCACCCGGUGGCCGUUCGACUCGCCGCCGAAGACGAGUGUUCAGCAGGGAGUAUUGACAUGGGCGGUACAUCUGUAAAAUCGUAACGCAGGUUUUUCCUAAGGUAGCUCAGAAGAGACNACAUCUGUCAAAUCGUAACGCAGGUGUCCUAAGGCUAGCUCAGAGAGGACGGAAACCUCUCGUAGAGCAAAAGGGCAAAAGCUCGCUUGAUCUUGAUUUUCAGUACGAAUACAGACCGCGAAAGCGUGGCCUAUCGAUCCUUUUGAAUUAGAAGGUCUCUAGCAAGAGGUGUCAGAAAAGUUACCACAGGGAUAACUGGCUUGUGGCAGCCAAGCGUCCAUAGCGACGUUGCUUUUUGAUCCUUCGAUGUCGGCUCUUCCUAUCAUUGCGAAGCAGAAUUCGCCAAGCGUUGGAUUGUUCACCCACCAAUAGGGAACGUGAGCUGGGUUUAGACCGGCCUUAAAAAAGGUUGGUUUUACCCUACUGUGACUCGUUGUUGGAAUAGUAAUCCUGCUUAGUACGAGAGGAACCGCAGGUUCAGACAUUUGGUUCAUGUGCUUGGCCGAUCGCCAAUGGUGCGAAGCUACCAUCUGAGGAUGAUAUGACUGAACGCCUCUAAGUCAGAAUCCCGCCUAGUGAAGGCAACGAUAAAUUUGCUCCCCGUGUUCGGGAGGCACUUCUAUGUGACUAUUGAAGUUACAGCUAAUGCCCCAUUAUAUGCCUUACCGAGCGAUUGAAAGGUCGUGCGGUUGCCAAGCCGGACUACACGGUACAAUGUCGGGGCGCAAAAUCACUUGCAGACGAACUUGAUUACUGGUCAAGGUGUUGUAUCCAGUAGAGCAGCCUCCAUACUGCGAUCUGUUGAGACUCAUCCUUUGAUUGGACGAUUUGUUUCAUAG